rnacentral:rRNA from 1 species
GACGAACCGUGCGAACGUUAUUCGGAAUCACUGGGCUUAAAGCGCGUGUAGGCGGGCCGGCACGUCGGUGCCUGAAAGCCCCCGGCUCAACCGGGGAAGCGGGGCCGAUACGACCGGCCUGGAGGGACGUAGGGGGACCUGGAACUUCCGGUGGAGCGGUGAAAUGCGUUGAGAUCGGAAGGAACGCCCGUGGCGAAAGCGAGGUCCUGGACGUCUGCUGACGCUGAGACGCGAAAGCCAGGGGAGCGAACGGG